CUCCUACACGUUUAAUGGAAGGAACAAUAAACUUAUUUUCCCUUACUGGUUUCUGGGUACAGAAUGUACACAGCCUCACAAACCUCCAUCUUUCCUCUAUAUGCGCACGGUGAGGGGGAGACAAAACCGAGCCUUGUUCCUUCCAUUCGCAAUCUCAACACAAUCCAAAUCAUCCUCACUGACUUCCUUUUUCUACACCACAACCGUGAGUUGUUCCAAGAAAGGAACUCCACAUCCAAGCGUCCUCCUUCUUCAUCCCUGUAUCAUUCGAUUGAGUUGCAAAUCAGAAGUGGUAUUAUGCCCUCCAUUCCCGUGUUCGAUGGUGUUCUAUGUGGUUGACGGAGACCUCUCUCUCUGCAUGCAGAUUGGGACCAAACCCAGCCUUGUUUCGUGCUUCCUUUGGUGCGCUGUUUAACUCGGUUUUAGGAGGUAGGGCGUUCUUCUUUACCCCUUUGUCUCUCAAAGUUUCUUUCGGUUUCUAAAAUAAGUGUUUCCCUUGUCUGCAACUGAGAUGGUAAUCUUGGGAGAGUGAAGGAGCUGCUGCAUCUUUUGGUUGCUGCACCGUGAACCAUUUAAAAAUCUUGGCUACAUGUAAUAAGGUGCGCAAAAAUCUCUAAUAACGUGGACUAUUAUGCUGUUGUUUGAUUUGUGAUUGGGCACGCAAGGAGGACGCAAAAGCAUAUGAGGACAUGGAUUAUUUGGAUAUUUGCUGUUAAACUCUUCUGUUUGGACUUGUUGCUGUUGCUAUUUUAUUUGAUGGAUGACUGUAUUAUUUUGAGAAGUUUAGAUUAACUGUUAAACUAUGAUUUUACUGCUGUCUUAAGACUUUUAUGAUCAGUUAGUGCUUUGAGUAAAA